rnacentral:rRNA from 1 species
UACGGGGGGGCAAGCGUUGUUCGGAAUUACUGGGCGUAAAGGGCUCGUAGGCGGCCAACUAAGUCAGACGUGAAAUCCCUCGGCUUAACCGGGGAACUGCGUCUGAUACUGGAUGGCUUGAGUUUGGGAGAGGGAUGCGGAAUUCCAGGUGUAGCGGUGAAAUGCGUAGAUAUCUGGAGGAACACCGGUGGCGAAGGCGGCAUCCUGGACCAACACUGACGCUGAGGAGCGAAAGCCAGGGGAG